rnacentral:rRNA from 1 species
UACGUAGGGUGCGAGCGUUAAUCGGAAUUACUGGGCGUAAAGCGUGCGCAGGCGGUGAUGUAAGACCGAUGUGAAAUCCCCGGGCUUAACCUGGGAACUGCAUUGGUGACUGCAUUGCUGGAGUAUGGCAGAGGGAGGUGGAAUUCCACGUGUAGCAGUGAAAUGCGUAGAUAUGCGGAGGAACACCGAUGGCGAAGGCAAUCCCCUGGGCCUGCACUGACGCUCAUGCACGAAAGCGUGGGGAGCAAACAGG